rnacentral:lncRNA from 1 species
GUAGUUAAUCGAGGAGGCGGAGAGUAGUAUUAGCAUUAGUUUUUCUGUUCAAUGAGGCAAAUCUAUAGUGGUAGAAGAGAUGUUAUGUUUUCUGUUAGCUUAUCUUGAUUACAUUUGGGAGACUUUGGUUAAUCUCGAUGAGAUUGUCUUUAAAUGAGGAGGCCGAGAGUAAUAUUAGCAUUAGAUUUUUUGUUCUAUCAGACAAUCCUAUUGAAGGGAUUUUGGGUUUUGUUUGUGUUUUGAGUUGGCGUCUAUGGAGUACAUUUAGAGACAGUUGUGGUUAAUCUGGAGGAGAAUGUAGUCGAUUGAGUAGUCGGAGAAUAGUGUUAGCAUUAUUUUGUUGUUCAAUAAACAAUUUGUACUAAAUAAAGGUUUUUGGGUUUUGUGUUGGUCUACAUGAAGUGCAUUUGGAGACAGUUGUGGUUCAUCUUGAUGAGAAUGUAGUUGACUGAGGAGGCAGAGAGUAGUGUUAGCAUUAUUUUUAUUGUUCAAUGGGAUAAUUCUAUAGCGAAUGAAGAUAUUUUCAGUUUUAUAUGUGUUGUGUUAGCUUUUGUGGUGUACAUUCGGGAGACCUUGUGGUUAAUGUUGAUAAGAAUGUAGUUGAUCAAGGCGGCGGAGAAUAGUGCUAGUAUUAAUUUUCUGUUCAAUGGACAAUUCUGUAGUGAUAGAAGGAAAUUUGGGUUUGAUGUAGAUCAAAGUGACACUACUUCAAAGAGGUCUGUCACAAGGAGUCGAGCUAAGGACCUUCAAGCAUUGCAAGCUUUAUGGGUGAAAAUGGAAUAUUUGGAAGACUCCAACAUGGAAGACUAGAAGAUAUAUUAAAUGCUCUACCAUUUUAACUAGCUCGUAAUUUUAGCGAAGGGUAAUUUGGUCUUUCUUUACUACUUUUAACCUUAGUAUAAAUAGUAGAAUAUUAGGGUUACAUAAUGAGUUUUUGACAUUUGAAAAUUGUGCCGCCGGUGGGGGGAUGAGACGAAUUUCAACACUGUGUCCUUGGAUUUGCAAGUAAGAUUUCUAUCUUAUUGAGGAUUCUAAUAAAUUAGAUGCACUUUAUUCCCAAUUAAGUUAUGUUUUGGUUGGUUUCUCCACUACAUCUUUUGAUUGUUUUAUAUAGUUGCGUCUAUCUCUCUUUAAUUCCUAUCUUAUCGUUUUAUUUUCUUGUUUUAAAUUAGGGGUUUAUUUGUGUUUUUGUGUUUGCUUAGGUGGAGUACUUUCGGGAGAUGUUGGGGUUAAUCUUGAUGAUAAGUAGUUAAUUGAGGAGGGGGAAAGUAAUAUUAGUUAUUAAUUUAUCUGUUCAAUGGGACAAUCCUAUAGCGAUACAAGGGAUUUUGAGUUUUAUUUGUGUUAGCUUAUGUGGAGUCCAUUCCGGAGAUGUUGUGGUUAAUCUCGAUAAGAAUGUAGUUAAUUGUGGAGGUGGAGAGUAGUAUUAGCAUUAGUUUUUUUGUUCAAUGGGACAGUCAUAUAGCAAUAGAAGGGAUUUUGUGUUUUAUUUGUGUUAGCUUCUGCGGAGU